CCUACGGGUGGCAGCAGUGAGGAAUAUUGGGCAAUGGGGGCAACUCUGACCCAGCCAUGCCGCGUGAGUGAAGAAGGUCUUCGGAUUGUAAAGCUCUUUCUGACGUGACGAUGAUGACGGUAGCGUCUAAAGAAGCACCGGCAAACUUCGUGCCAGCAGCCGCGGUAAUAUGUAGGAGGAAAGCGUUGUCCGGAUUUACUGGGUGUAAAGGGCGUGUAGCCGGGCUGACAAGUCAGAUGUGAAAUCCGGGGGCUCAACCCCCGAACUGCAUGUGAAACUGUUGGUCUUGAGUAUCGGAGAGGCAGGCGGAAUUCAUAGUGUAGCGGUGAAAUGCGUAGAUAUUAGGAGGAACACCAGUGGCGAAGGCGGCCUGCUGGACGACAACUGACGGUGAGGCGCGAAAGCGUGGGGAGCAAACAGGAUUAGAUACCCGGGUAGUC
rnacentral:rRNA from 1 species